rnacentral:tRNA from 1 species
GGGGGUGGUUGAUUCCCGGUGGGGUCCACAGUCUUCAAAACUGCUGAGAGGCGUUGAAACGGCUCUGGUGGGUUCGACUCCCAUCCACUCCCG